CGCUUAGUGAUUUUAUACUAAGUAAAUUCUGCUCGGUGAUUAAAUUUAACAGCAGCGGUAUUUUGACCGUUCAAAGGUAGCAUAAUAAGUUUAGUAAUUGUAAACCUGUCAAUGGGACCAUGGGUUUAUUUAAAUAAUAAUUUAACUAUUAUAGAAAUUAAAAAAAAAGUAAAAAUUCUUUUUUUAUUUUAAGGGACGAUAAGACCCUAGAAUUUUUUACAAAAAUUUAGGUGGGGAAUCUUUGAUUAUUUAACAAUCAAUAGGAAAAAUACUCUAGGGAUAACAGCUUUAUUUUAAAGAAGCUUUAAAGUUUGAGACCUCGAUGUUGAAUUAAGGUUAUUGGUUUUUCAAAAGAAAACUAAUUUAGGUCUGUUCGACCUUGUUCCCUU
rnacentral:rRNA from 1 species